GGUUGUGGCUCAGUGGUAGAGAGCUUGACUUGCACACAUGAGUCUCUGGGUUUGAUCCUCAGCAUCA
rnacentral:tRNA from 1 species